GACGAACGCUGGCGGCGUGCCUAAUACAUGCAAGUCGAACGCUGAGGGAGGAGCUUGCUUCUCUGGAUGAGUUGCGAACGGGUGAGUAACGCGUAGGUAACCUGCCUUGUAGCGGGGGAUAACUAUUGGAAACGAUAGCUAAUACCGCAUAAUAGUAGAUGUUGCAUGACAUUUGCUUAAAAGGUUCAAUUGCAUCACUACCAGAUGGACCUGCUUUGUAUUGGCUAGUUGGUGGGGUAACGGCGCACCUAGGCGACGAUACAUAGCCGACAUGAGAGGGGGGGCGGCCGCACUGGGACGGAGACACGGCACAGAGGCAUAGGGGAGGCAGCAGUAGGGAAACGGCGGGAAGGGGCGGAAGACUGAGCGAGAAACGCGGAGGGAGGGAGGAAGGUUGUCGGGUCGGAAAGGACUGUUGUAAGGGAAUAACGAGUGUGAGAGUGGAAAGUACACACUGUGACGGUAACUGACAAGAAAGCAACGGCUAACUACGUG
rnacentral:rRNA from 1 species